rnacentral:rRNA from 1 species
UACAGAGGGUGCAAGCGUUGUUCGGAAUUAUUGGGCGUAAAGAGCGUGUAGGCGGCCUGACAGGUCUGCUGUGAAAACUCGAGGCUCAACCUCGAGACGUCGGUUGAAACCGUUUGGCUAGAGUCCGGAAGAGGAGAGUGGAAUUCCCGGUGUAGCGGUGAAAUGCGCAGAUAUCGGGAAGAACACCCGUGGCGAAGGCGGCUCUCUGGGACGGUACUGACGCUGAGACGCGAAAGCGGGGGGAGCGAACAGG